UCCGAGCUCUCCCUUCCAGAGCCGCAGCCCUGGAGGUUCCACCCGGAGUUAUUUGUCCCACACCCGGCGCUGUCUGUCCUUUGUUCCUCCCUUCGCCCUGCCUCGCUGGCACACGCGGUGCCGGCAGCUGCGGGCGGUGACGCCGGGUCCGAGCAGCCCCUGCUCUGCUCCCCCCCUUGCUCCCCAUCCUCCCCGGGCUGCCGGCAGCCUCGGCAGCCCCCAGGGAAAUCCGCGGCGGCGGCGGCACCGGCGCAGCUUCCAGGAAUCGGCGCCGCGAGAGGAAGAGGCAAAACCACGCGCCGGGCUGUGGGCGGCGAGGGAAGCCUGGCCGGGGGCGAAACGCCGCCGAGGAAAAGCCUGAGCAGCUCCCCCAGCCCUUCCCGGGGUUGUUUCCAGCUCCCCGAGCCUCGUUUUCUCCUGGGGCGUGCGCGUGAGGUCCCCUUUUGUGGUGGGAGCUUUCUGGGAAGCACGGCGGAGGUUUCCAGGAAAGGCAGUGAAAAGGAGGCUUUGUUAACGGCACCGAGGCAAGAAGCCACUCGGAACAAAACAAGAGGCAACGGAGGGGAGGGCGAGGGGGAGCCGAGACAUUCUGAAGGCGUGACGAGGGGGGGGGAUUGCACUGGGGCUGCUGCACGCUUGGAAAUUCCUCCUCCCGAGAGCCAGCAAGGGAAGCAAAUCCUCGCGGGGCCCUCGCUUGGAGCGGCGCCCGAGGUGGCGGGCAGCCUUUGCCUGGCGUUUUGCAGGAGAAAAAAGCCUUCUGCCGCCCAAAGGGAGCCAGGGGCUCGCGCUCGCUUCCGAGCGGUGACGAGAGCUGCCAGGAGCACAGCAGCAGCCGCAUCGCCCGCACGGCUCCUGCGUAACGCUGCCCAGCCGCGCCGACGAGGUGGGGGCUCCUCGGGAGGGGUGCGGGGGGGCUCCGGCAGCAGCCCCCCUGUGCUGUCUCCAGCUUCUGAGCCUGUCCCUGCAGGUCCCAGGGGAGGGGACGGGGUUUGUGCAGCCGUAAGAGGUUUGGUGAUGUAUUUCCAGAGGAGAGCAGGAGCCGACCCCGAGCAUCUUGGCCAGGGGGGCAGAGGCGGCGUUGCCUGCAGCAGCUGCUGGCACAGGACCCACACCAAAGCCCUAAAGGGAGGCUCACGGGCUCCCAAACCGCCCUCUGAGCUCCUGGCUGCAGCGGAACGAACAGCAGAGUCCUCGCACCCCGUGGGCUCGUCAUGUCUCCACUUUGGGAAAGAACAAAUCCCAGCCGGGGGCUCCUCCGGCCAGAGGGAGAUGGGGAGCACCCAGCGGCCACCCUCAUCCCCUCCCCUGCCUGGCCGGGCCCCUCUCCCAUCAGGGCUUGUUUUGCUUUUCCCUCCCGUUGCACACCUAGAACAAAAGUUCAGAGGUUGCCCCGGGCCUGACGCUGUGCCAGUGCCACACGCCAGCUCCCGGGCUGUGGCCAGGGCGCACGGGGGGACCCCCGGUGCUGUGGAGAAGGGACGAGCACCGCCAGGGGACACGGGUUUGGAGGUGAUCAGCCGAAAAGCACCUGGUGCUGCCCUGCGCACCCGAGCCAUGAGGGGCAGGAUGCUGCUGGCCCCCGGGGAGGCGGUGGCGGGGGCUGGAAGUGCCGCUGGCCCCCAGCCUCAGCCCCCUGCCAAACAGCUGCAGCAGGCGGGGGCUGGCUCCAGCCCGGCUCCGGAGGAAAAACAUCCGAGGAGGGAGGUUCACGCGUGGUCAGCCCCUUAUUUUAGUUUGGUUUCGGAAAAAAAAAAAAAAAAAAAAAGCAGUUCAGGAGCGGGUCAGCCCUCCCGUGCGCGUGGAGGUGAUUGGGGAUGUGUGGGGAGCCGCGGCUGGGUGCAGCCCUCCUCCCGGCCCCAAAUCCCUGGGAACAACAGAAAGCUACCAAAGCCCCACAGGGGCAAUUAG
ensembl:lncRNA